rnacentral:rRNA from 1 species
GUGGGGAAUAUUGCACAAUGGGGGAAACCCUGAUGCAGCCAUGCCGCGUGUGUGAAGAAGGCCUUCGGGUUGUAAAGCACUUUCAGCGAGGAGGAAAGGUCAGUAGCUAAUAUCUGCUGACUGUGACGUUACUCGCAGAAGAAGCACCGGCUAACUCCGUGCCAGCAGCCGCGGUAAUACGGAGGGUGCGAGCGUUAAUCGGAAUUACUGGGCGUAAAGCGCACGCAGGCGGUUGGAUAAGUUAGAUGUGAAAGCCCCGGGCUCAACCUGGGAAUUGCAUUUAAAACUGUCCAGCUAGAGUCUUGUAGAGGGGGGUAGAAUUCCAGGUGUAGCGGUGAAAUGCGUAGAGAUCUGGAGGAAUACCGGUGGCGAAGGCGGCCCCCUGGACAAAGACUGACGCUCAGGUGCGAAAGCGUGGGGAGCAA